rnacentral:lncRNA from 1 species
CUUGUGCUCCUUUAAUUUCUUCUUGCUUUUCUUUUAAACACUAAACAGAGCUUUUAUUUUAUACACUAUAUAGAGCAGAAUGAAUGUUGAGGAUUCAUAUAGCAAACUCAAACUAGCUUGGAAUUUGUGUAGCUGUCGUUGUGGUUUUGAUGUAACAAAUAUAGGUAAGGUAGCAACUAAAGUUCAUACAACAGCACGGCAGCAUUUAUUUCUACCAAGGGUCAAUAUGCUAAACAUUGAGACUGAAAUCAGCGCAACUAAGGUUCGUUCAACAGCACGGCAUGACGGCAGCAUUUAUUUCUACCAAGGGUCAAUA